CUUUCGAUGGUAGUGUAUUGGACUACCAUGGCUCUCACGGGUAACAGGGAAUUAGGGUUCGAUUCUGGAGAAGGAGCCUGAGAAACGGCUACUACAUCUACGGAAGGCAGCAGGCGCGUAAAUUACCCAAUCCUGACUCAGGGAGGUGGUGACAAGAUAUAACAACGCGAUCAAAAUCGCGAUUGUAGUGAGGGUAUUCUAAACAGAACCUAUAGUACGAUUAGAGGGCAAGUCUGGUGCCAGCAGCCGCGGUAAUUCCAGCUCUAAUAGCGUAUAUUAAAGUUGCUGCAGUUAAAAAGCUCGUAGUUGGAUUUCAAGGUUUAUAUGCCCUCCGGGGAAUAUGGCCUACUAGUCUUUUGACUGUUACUGUGAGAAAAUUAGAGUGUUUCAAGCAGGCUUUCGCAAGAAUACAUUAGCAUGGAAUAACGAAUGUAUUUAGAAUCUUGGUUAAUUCUAAAUUACGAUUAAUAGAGACAGUUGGGGGCAUUAGUAUUUAAUUGUCAGAGGUGAAAUUCUUGGAUUUGUUAAAGACUAACGUAUGCGAAAGCAUUUGCCAAGGAUGUUUUCAUUAAUCAAGGACGAAAGAUAGGGGAUCAAAGACAAUCAGAUACUGUCGUAGUCCUAUCUAUAAACUAUGCCGACUAGGGAUUGGAGUGGGAAUCCCCCAUUUCAGUACCUUAAGAGAAAUCCAAAGUCUUGGGUUCUGGGGAGAGUAUUGGUCGCAAAACUGAAACUUAAAGAAAUUGACGGAAGGGCACCACCCAGGAGUUGGGGCUGCGGCUUAUUUGACUCAACACGGGAAACUCCACCAGGUCCAGACAUAGUAAGGAUUGACAGAUUGAUAGCUCUUUUCUUGAUUCUAUGGGUGGUGGUGCAUGGCCGUUCUUAGUUGGUGGAGUGAUUUGUCUGGUUAAUUCCGAUAACGAACGAGACCUUAACCUGCUAAUUAGAUCCUUUUAUCUUAUAAUCGAUAUCUUCUUAGAGGGACUAUGUAAAACAAAUACAUGGAAGUUUGAGGCAAUAACAGGUCAGUGAUGCCCUUAUAUGUCCUGGGCUGCACGCGUGCUACACUGAUGUAUACAACAAGUGCCUAACCAGACAUGGUAUGGCAAUCUCGAAUAUGCAUCGUGAUGGGGAUAGAUCUUUGCAAUUAUAGAUCUUGAACGAGGAAUUCCUAGUAAGUGCAAGUCAUCAUCUUGCAUUGAUUAUGUCCCUGCCCUUUGUACACACCGCCCGUCGCUCCUACCGAUACCGGGCGAUCCGGUGAACCUUUUGGACCUUAACUGGGAAGAUAAGUAAACCAUAUCACCUAGAGGAAGGAGAAGUCGUAACAAGGUUUCCGUAGGUGAACCUGCAGAAGGAUCA
rnacentral:rRNA from 1 species